rnacentral:rRNA from 1 species
UACAGAGGUCUCAAGCGUUGUUCGGAUUCAUUGGGCGUAAAGGGUGCGUAGGCGGCGCGGUAAGUCGGGUGUGAAAUUUCGAGGCUUAACUUCGAAACUGCAUUCGAUACUGCAGUGCUUGAGGACUGGAGAGGAGACUGGAAUUUACGGUGUAGCGGUGAAAUGCGUAGAUAUCGUAAGGAAGACCAGUGGCGAAGGCGGGUCUCUGGACAGUUCCUGACGCUGAGGCACGAAGGCCAGGGGAGCAAACGGG